rnacentral:pre_miRNA from 1 species
UCUAGAACUCGAGAUAUGGGCUGAACACUGAAUAAUAUUUGGGCUGCAGGAUAGAUUCUGACUUCUCUUUUGAUGCUAAGAUUUGGAUUUCCAAACAGCAUAAUUGCGUCUUGAACUCCCCUGAAUGUUUUAGGCCUAUGUCUUAACUUUCUAGC